rnacentral:rRNA from 1 species
UUGAACGCUGGCGGCAGGCCUAACACAUGCAAGUCGAACGGUAACAGGAAGCAGCUUGCUGCUUUGCUGACGAGUGGCGGACGGGUGAGUAAUGUCUGGGAAACUGCCCGAUGGAGGGGGAUAACUACUGGAAACGGUAGCUAAUACCGCAUAACGUCGCAAGACCAAAGAGGGGGACCUUAGGGCCUCUUGCCAUCGGAUGUGCCCAGAUGGGAUUAGCUAGUAGGUGGGGUAAUGGCUCACCUAGGCGACGAUCCCUAGCUGGUCUGAGAGGAUGACCAGCCACACUGGAACUGAGACACGGUCCAGACUCCUACGGGAGGCAGCAGUGGGGAAUAUUGCACAAUGGGCGCAAGCCUGAUGCAGCCAUGCCGCGUGUAUGAAGAAGGCCUUCGGGUUGUAAAGUACUUUCAGCGGGGAGGAAGGGAGUAAAGUUAAUACCUUUGCUCAUUGACGUUACCCGCAGAAGAAGCACCGGCUAACUCCGUGCCAGCAGCCGCGGUAAUACGGAGGGUGCAAGCGUUAAUCGGAAUUACUGGGCGUAAAGCGCACGCAGGCGGUUUGUUAAGUCAGAUGUGAAAUCCCCGGGCUCAACCUGGGAACUGCAUCUGAUACUGGCAAGCUUGAGUCUCGUAGAGGGGGGUAGAAUUCCAGGUGUAGCGGUGAAAUGCGUAGAGAUCUGGAGGAAUACCGGUGGCGAAGGCGGCCCCCUGGACGAAGACUGACGCUCAGGUGCGAAAGCGUGGGGAGCAAACAGGAUUAGAUACCCUGGUAGUCCACGCCGUAAACGAUGUCGACUUGGAGGUUGUGCCCUUGAGGCGUGGCUUCCGGAGCUAACGCGUUAAGUCGACCGCCUGGGGAGUACGGCCGCAAGGUUAAAACUCAAAUGAAUUGACGGGGGCCCGCACAAGCGGUGGAGCAUGUGGUUUAAUUCGAUGCAACGCGAAGAACCUUACCUGGUCUUGACAUCCACGGAAGUUUUCAGAGAUGAGAAUGUGCCUUCGGGAACCGUGAGACAGGUGCUGCAUGGCUGUCGUCAGCUCGUGUUGUGAAAUGUUGGGUUAAGUCCCGCAACGAGCGCAACCCUUAUCCUUUGUUGCCAGCGGUCCGGCCGGGAACUCAAAGGAGACUGCCAGUGAUAAACUGGAGGAAGGUGGGGAUGACGUCAAAUCAUCAUGCCCCUUAUGACCUGGGCUACACACGUGCUACAAUGGCGCAUACAAAGAGAAGCGACCUCGCGAGAGCAAGCGGACCUCAUAAAGUGCGUCGUAGUCCGGAUUGGAGUCUGCAACUCGACUCCAUGAAGUCGGAAUCGCUAGUAAUCGUGGAUCAGAAUGCCACGGUGAAUACGUUCCCGGGCCUUGUACACACCGCCCGUCACACCAUGGGAGUGGGUUGCAAAAGAAGUAGGUAGCUUAACCUUCGGGAGGGCGCUUACCACUUUGUGAUUCAUGACUGGGGUG